GGAGAGACGCCCUUCCACCUCUGGGAGCCUCGGUCUGUUGGGGUCGCGGAGUUCGGGCGCGGCUCCGGGUACCCGAGACCAGCGGCGGCAACUUCUAACACGGGAGAUUUCCCGCCACCCCACCCCGCCGCCGCGAGUCCUCGCGGGGCGUGUUGCGUGCGGAGGUCAGGCUGCCACCCUCUGUAGUUCCCUAACCCCAAACUCGGAGACUUCUAAGAGCCACACCACCAAGGAACUUCUAGUCCUGGAGGUCAAUGGUGGGGCAAACCUCGCCUCAAUUCUUUGACCCCCUCGGGUCGUAAGCAGGGCUAAGAGGCUGCGAAGAAGAGGCCUGGCCAUGGGUGUAUGGGGGAAGAAACAUCUCAGGCUCACUCAUGCCCCCUCCCCGACCUUCUCCCACCUGCCGCCAUCCCCGCAGGCUGGGGAGCCAGGGUAACUCGGGGCUGCUCUCUCGAAUUUAUUGGAACGCCGAGUCGGAAUGAGCUGCGCUAGGAGAGCCGAGGGAAGGAGCGAGAGAGGGAGGGGGCGGCUGCCUGUGGGAACGCGGGUUCUUCCAGGGAAGCGGAGCGGGACUGCCGCGUUCCCCUCGAUUUGCACCGUCACUCGGGUUGUUUGGGAAGAAAAGGGGAGGCGCUGUGCGUGCCACCGGGUACCUGGACCUGGAUGCCCAGUGUGUAUGCAUGCCUGUGGCGCUGCAAUCGACGGGAUUUCUCUGGCUGUCGUUUGCGCUGCAUUUAUCCGAAUACAUCCAGCUCGCAGGCAUCCUGCAAGAAACGGCUCCCGGCUCGCGUGUACGCCGACACCUCGGCCCAACGCAGGACUCGAGGUGGUUUCUAGUGCCCGGGUGGCUGCAAGUCUGCCCUCCGAGGGAGGCUGGACAAGCGGCGCCCCCAGGUCGAGCGGCCUCUCGCUGCCUGGCAGUGCCUGGCAGCCCCCACCUCUGCCAGUGCUUCGGAAACCCGCCUGGCCAGGUUCGCCCGCGGUGAAAAAUGAAAGCAAAUUCCCCAACAGAGGUAGCCGGAACUUUCCUCGACGAAGGCUCCCUCCUGCGCCUGUGUCUGGAGAACCCCCAGAGCGCUGCAAGUUAGCAAGAGAGAUUCGAUGGCGGCUCUGGAAGGCGCACGAAGGGUGGGGCGGGGGAGCAAAGAGGCCACUGGGUGACCCAGCCUGGUCCGGGGUGAAACGCUAGAGAAGGCGCCUCGCCUUCCUUAUUUCAAUGCAACUCCUCGGCCCCAGACGGUAAAAAUAGUUUCCAAGCUGCCGCGGACGCCCAGGAUGUGUUUGCAGAGAUCAAACUGGGGAGGAGGCAGCUUUGUAAAAGUUGCAGAAAGAUUAGCCGAGAAGCGUCCGCCCGGCGGGGCUCAAGAAAGCUUGGGGACAGCUCCAUGUUCCUUGGGGCGGAAUGGCCCAAGAAUUGGCCUGGGUAACCCCCUGCCCAGUUCUCUGUCCUCACUUCGAGCCAGUGCUUAAAUAACUUCCCGCCGCCUGCCCUGCAAACUUCCCGGCGCGGCGCCGUUGAGGCCAGGACACAGCAAAGGCUAGCAAAACCCCGCCGCGGCGCGCUCGGCCCCGGCCCUGAGAGGCUGCGCGGGUGGGAGGACCAGUGUGGUUUCUGCUCCCACUCGGCUGCCCAGACCCUCAAGACCGAUCCCCCAACUCCUGGGAGCGGGUGCUUCCCUCUGGGAGCCGAGAUCUUGCGGGGCCAGCGAGGGCGCAAAGUGCGCGCGCUGGCCCGCGCGGGGGCGGCCGCGCGUCUCUCCGCGGGGCCUGUCGCCAGGCCGGCCGCGGCGCGUGAGUGAUGAGGGCAGAGAAGGGCGCCCAUAAAUCGCGGGUGUCAGGGCGAAAAACUCUCUUUAUUGUCUGCGUGAUGGAUGGGCCCGGGGACGAGACACCAAAUACUUCGUAUCGCCUUUAAAUGGGAACACAUUUUCCGCGGCCAUAAUUCAUGUUUUUUAAAUAGAAAGUUUGAAAUGUUGCCUAUAUUUCACCAGCCCUGACAUAUUUAUGAAUCGCUCCCUGCAUGCAAAUAUCAUUACUUAAAGCGCCGGGGAGAGCGCGGGGGAGGGGAGGAGGCGCGGUUCCCGGGGCGUGGGGGUGGUGAACCGGGGAAAUAUCGGUGGAGGGGGGCCAUCUCCCUAAAGGGCAGAGGGUGAGGUGCGGUGAAUAGCCGUAUCCGGAAACCGAGCGUGCCCCGGGCUUCUUUCCCGCCGCCAGACCCCGCACAGCCGCCCUGGGACGUUUUUCGAGGCUUGGGACCUAAGACGGGUCCCCGGACCCUGCUGGGAAACCAGGGGGCGUUUUUCGUCCCUCUCUGAGGCCAUUAUCCAAGCUGAAACCACCUUUUAUAAGAAAAAAGUUUAAAGAAAAAAAAUUUAACAAACACAAAUAAUAAUAAUAACCCAACAUGUUUCGCGUUCUUUGCCACUGCAUCGAUUUUAUUGAUUUUCAUUCUGCAAACCUGGGAAUGUGCGCGCUCGGGAGGGGAGGCUGUCAAAACCCAGUCAUCGCGGGGACUGGAUGGGGGACAAUUCUCCGACGCCGCGGCCUGGACCCGCCCCCACCCAACCGGCGCACCACCUCCCAGGCACCACGGAGCCUGCGCAAGCUGCGGGGCCGUAAAGGAACCGGCCCCCAAUCUCCGGGGCUUCAGUCCCGCCCCUCUCUCCCCCCAGUGCCCUGCAGCGCUCCCAGGGUCCGUGUCUGCCCUCCCCAAGCCCCCACUGUCAAUACAAUCCCUGUUAAAAAAAAAAAAUCUUUUUAGAGCCAGGCACGUGCCGUCGGCCUCUCCCCUGCCCGCCUGGCCCAGGAGGCGCCCACACCUGCGCCCUCACUUGCCGAGACUUUUACCUGUGCAGUCCCCGGCGGCGCCUGCAGCCGCGCAGGUGCCAUUUAAAAAUUUUGUAUGAAUUAUGUCCUCGCCCACAGCGACUCUCUGAGAUCUGGGGCAUGCCAACUCCUUACUCUGGGGGAGUAUUGGAGGGAGAAUUCUACUUUUCUGAUGGGGGAGUACCAGCCUGUUAACCACAACCAUUUGCAGCUGAAGCCAGUGCAGAGCAGGAGGGAGAUCUGCACAGAGGAGAACAGUAUAAAUGGCAUGGGGUCAUCUCAGCCCCUGGCCAGCUCCCAGCCUAAUGGGAAAACCGGACCAUUGAGCAUUCCUUGCUGUUUCCCUGUAGUCCCAGCCCAAGCCAGCAUGCUCUUUUUUUAAAAAGCAAAUCCAACCAUGUUUCUCUUCUGCUUAAAGGCAUCCGGGUUCCCAUUGUUCUUGAGAACAAGUUGAGCUUGCCUCCCCUGGCUGGCGGGUCUACACUGGCUCUGCCCCAGCUUGCCUUUCUGCCUUUGUCUGCCUCCACACCCCCUCACCUGGAACUCCUGCUACCCAAGGCUUCCUUUUAGUUCCUCAAAUGUGCCAUGCUACUCCCCACCUCAAGGGCUUUGCUCCUGCUUUUCUCUGUCUCUCUGGAAUGACCUGUCCUUCUCUUCACCUGGCUUGCGCAUACUCUUCCUUCAGGUCUCAGCUCACACAUCACUUUCCUGCAUCCUCCCGCCUCCCAUUACCCUCACUUAUAAUAGAAUUUCCUGUUGAGAGUCUGUCCGCUUCACUGGAUGGUAAACUCCCAGGGGGUAGGGACUAGGGCCGUUCCUUCAAGGAACAAAUGAAGAAGGAACAUUUGUAUAAACCACCAACUAUGAUGAACGAAUGAAACUGCCCUUUUUGGGGCCACCAGUAAGUAUUCUCCAUGGUCUCACAUUCCAAGAUGUUCUCAACUUAAUGAGGGCGAUGAUACAAAUCUCAUGAAAACAUAUGUUAUUUUGAAUGCCUUUAUUGUAAAUGUCAAAUAAGGGGAUGCUGGAGGAGGUUGGAGAAGAGGAAUAUGCAUGGAUUACAGCCAUUUAUUCAGGGUUUCAAGAUGCAAGAUGUGUUGGUUGACACAAUUUAAUGGAAAACCAUGCCACCCACGACCAUCUCCCAGUGUUGGGCAUGUAUGUCUCAAGGCUCUAGCCUGCACCCCCUUUCCUCUUCCUUUCUUCACAUAUUAUUGCUAUCACAGUUCAGUUCUUACUAGUUUCUGACUUAACUGCUGCUACAAGAACCUUCUAAUUGUUCUGCCCAUCCUCCACCUCUCCUGCCUCUAAUCCAUCAUACAUACUCCUGCUGGGUUAAUUUUCCUGACCACAUCAUUCCCUUACUCAAAACUCUUCAGUGGCUCCCUAUGAUACAGUGUAACACUUGACUCUUCAUAGCCCACUUCCAAACUACUUUUGUAAAGCUUUAAGAUGCAUUCCAAAAUUAUGAAAGAAACACAUGUUCACCUCAACCAGGAAAACACUCAAAGAUAUACAAAGAAAAACAUCAGUGAUCUUCCUCACCUCCUCUGCAUUUCCCACCCAGUCUCCCAAGACAUCCAUUGUUAAGGACCUGGGGUAUAACUUCUACCUCUUUCACCAUGCUCCAUGCUCAUAAUAAACUAUAUUCAUAUAUGUGGAGCUAUUGUGUUAUUGCCUAUUUAUACAAAAAGGAUUAUAUUAGGGGUCUCUGCAACUCGCUCAUUCAUUCUUAAUAAUAAAUGGGUCUAUAGAUAUGGAAUGAAUAUAUUCAUUUUUUAGCUACAUAGUAAUUUUAAUUUAUUUUUAUUUUUUUUUAAUGUAUGUAUAUAUGUAUGUAUUUUAGACAGGGUCUCACUUUGUUGCCCAGGCUGGAGUGCAGUGGCACAAACAUGGCUCACUGCAGCCUUGACCUUCCAGACUCAAGCGAUCCUCCCGCCUCAGCCCCUCAAGUAGAUGGGACUACAGGUACACACCACCACGCCUGGCUAAUUUUUGUAUUUUUCGUAGAGAUGGGGUUUUUCCAUGUUGCCCCAGCUGGUUUUGAACUCCUGAGCUCAAGGGAUCCACCUGCCUUAGCCUCCCAAACUGUUGGGAUUACAGGUCACCAUGCUGGCCAGCUACAUAAUGUUUCAUAAGAUGUAUAUACUGCACCUAUUCAACCAUUCCCCUAUUAGUGGGCACAUAGAUUGUUACCAGGUUUUUUUUGCUAAUAAAAUUUCUUAUGUCUAUAUCCUUGCAAUUAGUGAUUUUACUUCUCUAGGAUAGUUUACCAAAAGUGCAGCUACUUACACGUCAGCCA
rnacentral:lncRNA from 1 species